rnacentral:misc_RNA from 1 species
AACCUCCAUGCCCCCCAGAGCCCUGCUUUGGGCGGCGUCUUGGGCCUCAGUUGUCGCGGGGAUUGGGCGUCUGCCUGUCCCCGUGUGGCCUUGAAGAGAUUGGCAUCCGUCCGUGGGCGUAAGAUCCGUUAGGACUGACGAGCCCUUGUGGAUGGAGACAUUGCUAGAGUGCGCUUCUGCGCUGAACA